rnacentral:rRNA from 1 species
UACGUAGGGGGCAAGCGUUGUCCGGAUUACUGGGCGUAAAGGGCGCGUAGGCGGCCGCCUAAGUCAGACGUGAAAUCCCUCGGCUCAACCGGGGAACUGCGUCUGAUACUGGGUGGCUUGAAUCCGGGAGAGGGAUGCGGAAUUCCAGGUGUAGCGGUGAAAUGCGUAGAUAAUCUGGAGGAACACCGGUGGCGAAGGCGGCAUCCUGGACCGGUAUUGACGCUGAGGCGCGAAAG